GAUGAACGCUGGCGGCGUGCCUAAUACAUGCAAGUCGAGCGAACGGACGAGAAGCUUGCUUCUCUGAUGUUAGCGGCGGACGGGUGAGUAACACGUGGAUAACCUACCUAUAAGACUGGGAUAACUUCGGGAAACCGGAGCUAAUACCGGAUAAUAUUUUGAACCGAAUGGUUCAAAAGUGAAAGACGGUCUUGCUGUCACUUAUAGAUGGAUCCGCGCUGCAUUAGCUAGUUGGUAAGGUAACGGCUUACCAAGGCAACGAUGCCUAGCCGACCGGAGAGGUGCACCGCCCACACUGGAACGUCACCCCGGCCCAGCCCCCUACGGGAGGCACAAGUGGGGAAUUUUCCCCAAUGGGAGAAACCCUGACGAAGCACCCCCGCGUGAGUGAUGAAUUUCUUCGUCUCUUAAAACUUUUUUAUGAGGGAAAAACUUUUUUUUAGGUAACUGUGCCCACUUUGACGCUCCUUAAUCAAAAACCCCCGGCAAACUCCGUG
rnacentral:rRNA from 1 species